AGUGAACGCUGGCGGUAGGCCUAACACAUGCAAGUCGAACGGCAGCACAGUAAGAGCUUGCUCUUACGGGUGGCGAGUGGCGGACGGGUGAGGAAUACAUCGGAAUCUACUUUUUCGUGGGGGAUAACGUAGGGAAACAUACGCUAAUACCGCAUACGACCUACGGGUGAAAGCAGGGGAUCUUCGGACCUUGCGCGAUUGAAUGAGCCGAUGUCGGAUUAGCUAGUUGGCGGGGUAAAGGCCCACCAAGGCGACGAUCCGUAGCUGGUCUGAGAGGAUGAUCGGCCACACUGGAACUGAGACACGGUCCAGACUCCUACGGGAGGCAGCAGUGGGGAAUAUUGGACAAUGGGCGCAAGCCUGAUCCAGCCAUGCCGCGUGAGUGAAGAAGGCCUUCGGGUUGUAAAGCCCUUUUGUUAGGAAAGAAAAACAGCAUGUUAAUACCCCGCUGUUCUGACGGUACCCAAAGAAUAAGCACCGGCUAACUUCGUG
rnacentral:rRNA from 1 species